GACGUGUCCCGGACUGCGUGUAUCCGAAGAAAAAGCAUCGGCUAACUCCGUGCCAGCAGCCGCGGUAACACGGAGGAUGCGAGCGUUAUCCGGAUUUAUUGGGUUUAAAGGGUGCGUAGGCGGUCCGUUAAGUCAGCGGUAAAAUUGCGGGGCUCAACCCCGUCGAGCCGUUGAAACUGGCAGACUUGAGUUGGCGAGAAGUACGCGGAAUGCGCGGUGUAGCGGUGAAAUGCAUAGAUAUCGCGCAGAACUCCGAUUGCGAAGGCAGCGUACCGGCGCCAGACUGACGCUGAGGCACGAAAGCGUGGGGAUCGAACAGGAUUAGAUACCCUGGUAGUCCACGCAGUAAACGAUGAAUGCUGGUUGUCCGGGUCGAAUGAGAUCUGG
rnacentral:rRNA from 1 species